rnacentral:rRNA from 2 species
UGGGGAAUAUUGCACAAUGGGGGAAACCCUGAUGCAGCGACGCCGCGUGAAGGAAGAAGUAUCUCGGUAUGUAAACUUCUAUCAGCAGGGAAGAAAAUGACGGUACCUGACUAAGAAGCCCCGGCUAACUACGUGCCAGCAGCCGCGGUAAUACGUAGGGGGCAAGCGUUAUCCGGAUUUACUGGGUGUAAAGGGAGCGUAGACGGAAGAGCAAGUCUGAUGUGAAAGGCUGGGGCUUAACCCCAGGACUGCAUUGGAAACUGUUGUUCUAGAGUGCCGGAGAGGUAAGCGGAAUUCCUAGUGUAGCGGUGAAAUGCGUAGAUAUUAGGAGGAACACCAGUGGCGAAGGCGGCUUACUGGACGGUAACUGACGUUGAGGCUCGAAAGCGUGGGGAGCAAACAGG